AGCGGCGCACGGGUGCGUAACGCGUAUGCAACCUUCCUUGUACAGAGGGAUAGCCCAUGGAAACGUGGAUUAAUACCUCAUAGUAUCACAAUUUCGCAUGUUAUUGUGAUUAAAGUUUCGACGGUACAAGAUGGGCAUGCGUAUGAUUAGCUAGUUGGUGAGGUAAUAGCUCACCAAGGCAACGAUCAUUAGGGGUUCUGAGAGGAUUAUCCCCCACACUGGUACUGAGACACGGACCAGACUCCUACGGGAGGCAGCAGUGAGGAAUAUUGGUCAAUGGACGCAAGUCUGAACCAGCCAUCCCGCGUGCAGGAUGACGGCCCUAUGGGUUGUAAACUGCUUUUGUUUGCCAAGAAUGGUUCCUACGUGUAGGGAUUUGACGGUAGCAAAUGAAUAAGGACCGGCUAACUCCGUGCCAGCAGCCGCGGUAAUACGGAGGGUCCAAGCGUUAUCCGGAUUCAUUGGGUUUAAAGGGUGCGCAGGCGGGCUUGUAAGUCAGUGGUGAAAUCUUGCCGCUUAACGGUAAAACUGCCAUUGAUACUGCAAGUCUUGAAUAUGGUUGAGGUAGGCGGAAUGUGUUGUGUAGCGGUGAAAUGCAUAGAUAUGACACAGAACGCCGAUUGCGAAGGCAGCUUACUAAGCCAUUAUUGACGCUGAGGCACGAAAGCGUGGGGAGCGAACAGGAUUAGAUACCCUGGUAGUCCACGCCAUAAACGAUGAUCACUCGCUGUCUGCGAUACACAGUAGGCGGCUGAGCGAAAGCAUUAA
rnacentral:rRNA from 1 species